rnacentral:rRNA from 1 species
AACGAACGCUGGCGGCAGGCCUAACACAUGCAAGUCGAGCGGACCUUUCGGGGUUAGCGGCGGACGGGUGAGUAACGCGUGGGAACGUGCCCUUUGCUUCGGAAUAGCCCUGGGAAACUGGGAGUAAUACCGGAUACGCCCUUUUGGGGAAAGAUUUAUCGGCGAAGGAUCGGCCCGCGUUGGAUUAGGUAGUUGGUGGGGUAAUGGCCUACCAAGCCGACGAUCCAUAGCUGGUUUGAGAGGAUGAUCAGCCACACUGGGACUGAGACACGGCCCAGACUCCUACGGGAGGCAGCAGUGGGGAAUCUUAGACAAUGGGGGAAACCCUGAUCUAGCCAUGCCGCGUGAGCGAUGAAGGCCUUAGGGUUGUAAAGCUCUUUCACCGGGGAAGAUAAUGACGGUACCCGGAGAAGAAGCCCCGGCUAACUCCGUG